AAAGUGGCUAAAUUAAUUUACUUAUUGCUUCCUGGGCAUAGUAAUUUGUUACUUUACUUUUACAUUACUUUGCAUUACGCACCCCAAAACUUUGCACACAAUAGGCUAAACCAGGCACACACCUAGUGUCACACCACAGGGGGCAGAUUUUUCUUUUAUAAAACGAAAUGGAAUACCUGGUAUCAUAAAUGAAUAAAUGUUCUCAGUUCGGAGAAUAGGGUUGACAAUUCUCUUGAUAUCAUUCUAAGAAAUUCCGGGGCAAGUUAGUUAGUUUUAGCAGUCACAACCAUAAUUUGGAUUCCUUCUGUUUGACUGGAAGGAGGGAGUAUACUCCAGGGUAGCGUGACUGCGAAAGGUGUGUCAAGGUGGGGCACUUAGAGACAGUUAUAUAAGACAGAGCUGGAGAGGCCAGAGAGACACUCAACUUCUUAAAUAUCGAAGACCAGAAGACAUAAUCAAGACAACCAGGCUUCAAUCCAUCAGCAUAUUUCUUCUCUUCGAUUAAAGGAUGAAGAUCCAGAGUGUGAUACUGCUGUUCUCUCUAGUGGGUGUGCUGUUAGCAAGCUCGCUAAAAAAAGCUACAUCGGAGCAAGCACUACUGCAAGAGGACAAUUGGAAAUGUGACAAUCAAAAUUGUGGCAUACCUAAAGAGGCUGUGGCCAGGUUAGCUGCUGCUCUGAAAACUGUCAAGGAGGCUGCAGAUGAAGCACCAAUUGAUUGGGGUUUUUGGGCC